AGAGCAGAGCGAGUUCAAAACCUCCUUAACCCUAAAAACCGAACUCUCUGUGGCGAAACGGUAGUUACAAGCAAGCAGCAGCAGCAAGCGGCCGUGGCGCUGCUUGGCAAGCAGAAGAAAAGCAUGGCCGUUGUAGGGAGUAGCCAAUUAUCGUCCGCAUGCGCCGUGAGACUUUUUUUUUUCUAUCCAAAGCGUUCGAAUAAACCAAUAAGAGAGUCGACUUAAAGCUCACACCACCCUUGAUUGACAGUUAGGGGGCGCGGCCUGAGGGAUGGGCGUAAACUAAAGAAGCAAUGCAGAUGUUAUGGAGCACUUCACUAUUCGGUCGCUGGUAAACAAGGCUUUUGCAGUCAUUGGACGAGGGGUGGGACAUAUCGCGAUACGAGGGAUAGCUCCGCCUUUUUUGCCCCCCCUUAAAUGCUUAAAGAGGGGAUCCUGAAGGGUUCCCAAAGUAGGCCACUAGGCGGAAGGUCGGGAAGAUUUUGUCAGAAUGCCGACGAAUAACAGGAGGUCAAGUGUUAGGGGAGGCAGGUUCUCUCGUAAAUACCGGGGAGGUGGAAAAAAGACCACAAGAAGUACAUAUAUUUAGGAAUAGACAUCUUGAAAAUAGUGGAAUUGAUCUAAUAACGGGCCCUAAAAGAGUCUUGAAAAAGUUCCAUGACAAUCUUGCUUACAAUUCAGAGACAGACAGACGAAAUAUCCUGUUUCGCACGUAAUUUCGAAUAAAAAGAAAUACAUUCUUGAAAUAAUUUUUGCAGCGAAGAGAAACAACACAGCAAAAUCGGAAGAACCAUUUUCAACUGAAAUGAAUAAUCUAAAUGCU